rnacentral:rRNA from 1 species
UGGCGGACGGGUGAGUAAUGUCUGGGAAACUGCCUGAUGGAGGGGGGUAACUACUGGAAACGGUAGCUAAUACCGCAUAACGUCGCAAGACCAAAGAGGGGGACCUUCGGGCCUCUUGCCAUCGGAUGUGCCCAGAUGGGAUUAGCUAGUAGGUGGGGUAACGGCUCACCUAGGCGACGAUCCCUAGCUGGUCUGAGAGGAUGGCCAGCCACACUGGAACUGAGACACGGUCCAG